rnacentral:lncRNA from 1 species
GAAGAGUCCACUUCACUUGGGACUCUUAAUUUCCUUAAUAUUCCAUGCAUUUUCUUCACCCCACACACCAUCUGUUGGCUUCUGGGAUAAUGUUGGCAUAGAAGUGGAGGAGUCCUUCUACUUGAAGGCUCUUUGACACCCAAAAACUUCUAUAUAAAAAUUAAACCUUUAUGGGAAGUAAUGGGACGUCGCUUGGGAUGUUGGUGUGCCAAACAUUGAUUCCUCUCUUAAAACCUCUUAAUUCUUACAUGCCUAUUUUUUUGGGACC